CUUCACUUCACUGUCACUGCACUUUCUCGAAACAGCCCAAUCCUUCUCGUUCUUCUCCUCUUCGCUUCCCUUCUCGCGCUUUUCAGGCUCUUCUUCUCUGUAUUGCGCGCGCAGCUUUUGUCCAUGGCGUUUGCUCACUGCUUGCUAGCUGUUCCUGUUGAUACUUCAAAUCACCCAAAAACUACAAUUCCCAAUUCUUUUUCUUCUCCUUCUGCUGCUGCUGCUGCUGCUGAGUCCCUGUCUUUAUCUCUCUCUUCGUUUUCUAUUGGAUCUAACUCCCGAAAACUCUCUAUCUUUCCCAGACUCCAAAGAAUUGGACAUAAAGCCAAGGCUAAGGCACAAGAAUCUGAAGUCAGUUUAGCUGCAGAUGCCUUUACUCAUUUCAAACAUCUGCUUCUGCCAAUCACGGACAGGAACCCUUAUCUUUCUGAGGGUACAAGACAGGUGACCUUUCUUUAAGGCAUCUUUAUUUUUGGUGAAUUCAUUUUUGCCCCUGCUAUUUGUAACCCCACAAAAAUAGCCUUCUGUAGAAGUCCAAACUUUUACUCUGACAUAUUUCAUGGUGAAAUCGUUUGCUUCGUACAUCUAUUCGAUAAAUUCUUUCAACCUUCCAUGAUUGAUCCCUUGCAAUGGACUGUUAGGAGUAUUAAAUUCCAGUGCCACUGUAAUGGGAAUUGCGGUUUCCUGUCUCCAUAGCCUUGUUGACAUAGUGCUGCCUUGACUUGUUAUUCUUUUAUUGACAGCUUGUUCAAUCAUUCAUUCUGAUUGAUUAUUUAACAGGCUGCUGCUACUACCGCUGCAUUAGCGAAGAAAUAUGGGGCUGACAUCACUGUUGUAGGUAAUCCAUUGGCCUAUGCUAUGCAACUGCCAUUUUGCAUAUAGUUAAAGGUCUGGGAACCUAAGUAGCGGAGGCUCCACUUUAUGCAACAGAUUCUUUUUAAUGCAAGAUUUCAUGGAAUAUCAAAGUUUAUGUUCUUUGCAGUUAUUGAUGAAAAGCAGAAAGAAUCAUUUCCAGAGCAUGAAACCCAAAUGUCUAGCAUUCGCUGGCAUCUCUCUGAAGGUUUGUAUGUAAUCCCAUAACUUUAAAAGAUUUGGCAAGGUUUUCUUUUAGUUUUGGAAUAGAGAAUCUGCUUUUUGCAACAAAGGUUUGAUUGAUUAUAGUAAGAUCCAUCACAACUAGACAAUUGAUCAAUAGGACACAUGAAGCUUUGUUUGAAACAAUGGAACUGGCAUGAGACACAUGAAGAGAAUAUGGAAGUUAAAGACAAAGUGUUAAGCCAAUUUGUUUGCAUGUGCAUAAUCAUGCACAAAGGUGCAUGCAUAUGGGUCAUUGGAAAGGUAAAAUAUAGCAGCUUGAUGGAUUUGUGAUAUAUCAACUGGAAGUCAUUAUCAUCUUCUUUUAUCUUUGUGUGUCUUUGUGCUUAUCCAAAAUUAUGACAAAACCCAUUCAAAAUAUGUGUGUGUGUGUGUGUGUGACAAAGCAGCAAUAUUAGUUGGCUGCCAAUUUUUUAUCCAGAAUGAUGAUGACUAUAAUUAAUUUGCUGAUAAAUUUUAUUUACAAAAUAUGAUAGGUGGAUUCCAAGAAUUCAACUUGUUGGAGCGGCUCGGUGAAGGGAACAAGCCCACCGCCAUCAUUGGUGAUGUUGCUGAUGACCUAAACUUAGAUUUGGUAGUAAUAAGCAUGGAAGCAAUUCAUUCCAAGCAUGUGGAUGCCAACUUACUGGCUGAGUUCAUUCCUUGCCCUGUCUUACUUUUACCAUUGUAGAUUCCAGCCUUUGCCUUGGAGAAAACAGAAACCUACCAAUAUUGUUAUUGAAAGUGGAGCCUUCCCCUGAUGGUCUUUUUAGUUUUGAUCCAGUUUGUUUAGCUUUUUAUUUUUGGGUAAGCUUGUUCAAGGGCUUGUGGGUGGCCUAGGUUGACGAAAGCAGUUUUUCAAGUUAUUGUGAAUAGUUGCGGGUGCGCAUGAUCAAUCUAGGAAGGGACCAAACCUACUUUUGGUGGUGUUUUUAUCGUUUAUUAGACAUGAACUGAUGAUGGUUAUAUUCUACUAAUCUCUGGAAUUUGCUGUACUUUCUACUUCCACUUUAGAUGAGGCUCUUGAGGUUGAAAAAUACCCCUCGCCGGGUAGCCUGGCCCACUGGAAUUCAUUGCACAAAAAGAAAAUAAACAAACCGAAAUUUGUGGCUUUGUGGCAUAUUUAUAAAGGAAAUGAUUAAAAGUUUC
rnacentral:misc_RNA from 1 species